UCACACACACACACACACACACAUAUAUAUAUAUAUCAUAAAUCAAAAUGUCUACUCAGAAGAAAUCUACGAAAACUUCUAAAAAAACUAAGAAAAAAGACGGCAUUCUGGAAAAGGAUGAGAAAUUUAGGAAAUCACUGGUUGAACUGAAUGCCAUGAAAGAUUACAUUGCUCAGCGUGAUCUGAUGCUGAUGGAAAGUUUGGCAGCUGGCGAAGAACGGAACAAAGAACUGGAUCUGUUAAAAAUAGAUUUUGAGUCACAGAAAGGUGAUUACAGGUCAAUAAGAGCUGAUAUGACACGGCAGUACAAGACCAUGGAGUCGGAGAUGAAUGCAAGGAUACGUAUUUUGGAAACUGAGUUGACAAGCUGUCGAAUAAAGUUAAGUGAUAAAGAAUCAGAAUUACUAAAGGCACAAAAAGAAGCCAAACUUCUUAUGAACCAGAAACAGGAAGAAAUUGUGCUUUUCCAGCGGAAGAACAAUGCCAUGGAGAAUUCCUACCAGGACAUACUUCAUGGGGCUUUGGAUAAUCUUGUGUUCAAAAUGGAGAAGUUAAAGGAUCGAUGGGAGAAACAAGCCAAAGUGAUUCAGGCCAGAAAUAAGAAAAAACUUCUUGAAUUUGGCUUAAAUCCUCUUGAUUUGUAACAUUUUGCCUCAAGAUUUUCUGCUCCACAAGGUAUGGCUUCACCUUUGUCUUCAGACAAUUGUCUUCUCUUCGACAGGAAAUGUUUAAAAAGAGAAUGGAAGAGUAGAGUUGACCUCACCAUCAUCAGAUAACAAGCAACAAUGAUGGCACUUCUUGUCCGGCCAGCUUUACAAUGAACAUAAACACACUGACCAAGUUGUUGAUAAUAGCUGAUGAAUGCCAGAGCUUGAGUGACCUGCCACUCAAUGAAAUAUUCAACUUCCAUUCCAAAAAUGACACAAUUGUAGAGAUGAAAAGGAAAAAGUGAGAAGGAGAGAGAGAGAGGGAAAGAGAGUGAAAAUUAAUUGUUAAUUAAUAAAUCAUUUUUUUAUAA